GUGCUCGCUUCGGCAGCACAUAUACUAAAAUUGGAAUGAUACAGAGAAUAUUAGCACGGCCCCUGUGCAAGGAUGACACACAAAUUCGUGAAGCGUUCCAUAUUAAA
rnacentral:snRNA from 3 species